rnacentral:rRNA from 1 species
UAAAACCUUAAAGAUUUAACAUUUAAAAUUUAAAAACUAGAGUAAUCUAUAAAAAGAAUUUGUUUACCUUUCAACUAAUUAGGUGCCAGCAGUUGCGGUUAAACCUGAGAUUGACUAAUUACACCUUUAAGAUAAAUUAUAUUGAUUACAAUAAUAUGAAUUAACAAAUUAUAAAUAAGUAAAAUUUUUAAGAUUUUAAAAAAUAUUAUAGAUAAAAAUUUAAAUUUCUGUUAAAAACUAGGAUUAGAUACCCUACUAUUAGAAUAAUUAUAAUGAAAGUAGUAAAAGAAGAUCUUCAAACUUAAAAAAUUUGGCGGUAACUUAAUCUAACUAGAGGAAUCUGCUCUGUAAUUGACAAUCCACAAUUUGUUUGAUUUUAAUUAUAUAUUUAUAUAUCGCUGUUAAAUAUAAAUUUAUAAAUAGUAUUUUAAAUCUACUUAAACUCAUUAAAUCAAGUCAACACAUAAUUCUUAAAAACUGAAGUGGAUUACAUUUAAGUCAAGUUAAUAGAAUAAUUUAUCAAAAUUAAUUAUAAAAAAGAAUUUAGAAGUAAAUUAGAAAAAAGAUUUUUUAUUGAAUAUGAUAUAAGUUAUGUACAAAUCGCCCGUCAUUCUUAAAUAAAUUAAGACAAGUCGUAACAAAGUAAAAUUACUGGAAAGUAAUAUUAGA